rnacentral:rRNA from 1 species
UACAGGGGGUGCAAACGUUGCUCGGAAUCAUUGGGCGUAAAGCGCACGUAGGCGGUUCGUUAUGUCGGAUGUGAAAGCCCUUGGCUUAACCGAGGAAGUGCAUCCGAAACUGGCGAGCUAGAGUACGAAAGAGGAUCGCGGAAUUCCCGGUGUAGAGGUGAAAUUCGUAGAUAUCGGGAGGAACACCGGUGGCGAAGGCGGCGAUCUGGGUCGAUACUGACGCUGAGGUGCGAAAGCGUGGGGAGCAGACAGG